rnacentral:tRNA from 1 species
UCCCUGGUGGCUUAGUGGUUUAAGGAUCCAGAAUUGUCACUGCUGUGGCACAGGUUCAAUCCCUGGCCUGGGAA